GCCGCUAUAGCUCAGUUUGGUAGAGCGUCGCUCUCGUAAAGCGAAGGCCCCGUGUUCGAACCCCGGUGGUGGCA